rnacentral:lncRNA from 1 species
GACGUGCUCCAGCUCCAGAACUUUGGCAAACUCUCCCAGCUUGGAGGCGGCGGCGCGGCGCACCAUGGGGGUGUCGUCAGAGCACAGGUUGCGGAAAUACCUGGGGGGGGGGACGGGGACAAUUUGGGGAGGGGGGGGGGGGGGGGGGGNCGGGGACGACCCAGAGUUGAGGCCAGGCCACUCGAACCAAAGUCAGCCUGGGGGCAGUGGGGACGGUUUGGGGACGUUGGGGGCAGUUUGGGGACGGGCAGUGGGGUCAGCGUGGCCAAAAAGCCAAGCUGGGCAACGUGGGAUUUGUCUGGAGCUGCUGCGGGGCCAACAAGGGCGGCUAUGGGGCCACCAGGGAUGGGUUGGGGCCACCACGGGGAUGGGCUGGGGCCACCAGGGGAUGGGUUGGGGUCACCAGGGGCGGCUAUGGGGUCACCAGGGAUGGGUUGGGGCCACCAGGGGCGGCCAUGGGGUCACCAGGGGAUGGGUUGGGGCCAUCAAGAGAUGGGCUGGGGCCACCAGGGAUAGCUAUAGGGUCACCAAAGGAUGGGUUGGGGCCACCAGGAG